rnacentral:rRNA from 1 species
UACAGAGGGGGCAAGCGUUGUUCGGAAUUACUGGGCGUAAAGGGCGCGUAGGCGGCCUGUUAAGUCGAACGUGAAAUCCCCGGGCUCAACCCGGGAACUGCGUCCGAUACUGGCAGGCUUGAAUCCGGGAGAGGGAUGCGGAAUUCCAGGUGUAGCGGUGAAAUGCGUAGAUAUCUGGAGGAACACCGGUUGCGAAGGCGGCAUCCCUGACCGGCAUUGACGCUGAGGCGCGAAAGCCAGGGGAGCAAACGGG